GGUUAAGCGACUAAGCGUACACGGUGGAUGCCCUGGCAGUCAGAGGCGAUGAAGGACGUGCUAAUCUGCGAUAAGCGUCGGUGAGGUGAUAUGAACCGUUAUAACCGGCGAUUUCCGAAUGGGGAAACCCAGUGUGUUUCGACACACUAUCAUUAACUGAAUCCAUAGGUUAAUGAGGCGAACCGGGGGAACUGAAACAUCUAAGUACCCCGAGGAAAAGAAAUCAACCGAGAUUCCCCCAGUAGCGGCGAGCGAACGGGGAGGAGCCCAGAGCCUGAAUCAGUGUGUGUGUUAGUGGAAGCGUCUGGAAAGGCGCGCGAUACAGGGUGACAGCCCCGUACACAAAAAUGCACAUACUGUGAGCUCGAUGAGUAGGGCGGGACACGUGGUAUCCUGUCUGAAUAUGGGGGGACCAUCCUCCAAGGCUAAAUACUCCUGACUGACCGAUAGUGAACCAGUACCGUGAGGGAAAGGCGAAAAGAACCCCGGCGAGGGGAGUGAAAAAGAACCUGAAACCGUGUACGUACAAGCAGUGGGAGCCUCUUAAUGGGGUGACUGCGUACCUUUUGUAUAAUGGGUCAGCGACUUAUAUUCUGUAGCAAGGUUAACCGAAUAGGGGAGCCGAAGGGAAACCGAGUCUUAACUGGGCGUUAAGUUGCAGGGUAUAGACCCGAAACCCGGUGAUCUAGCCAUGGGCAGGUUGAAGGUUGGGUAACACUAACUGGAGGACCGAACCGACUAAUGUUGAAAAAUUAGCGGAUGACUUGUGGCUGGGGGUGAAAGGCCAAUCAAACCGGGAGAUAGCUGGUUCUCCCCGAAAGCUAUUUAGGUAGCGCCUCGUGAAUUCAUCUCCGGGGGUAGAGCACUGUUUCGGCAAGGGGGUCAUCCCGACUUACCAACCCGAUGCAAACUGCGAAUACCGGAGAAUGUUAUCACGGGAGACACACGGCGGGUGCUAACGUCCGUCGUGAAGAGGGAAACAACCCAGACCGCCAGCUAAGGUCCCAAAGUCAUGGUUAAGUGGGAAACGAUGUGGGAAGGCCCAGACAGCCAGGAUGUUGGCUUAGAAGCAGCCAUCAUUUAAAGAAAGCGUAAUAGCUCACUGGUCGAGUCGGCCUGCGCGGAAGAUGUAACGGGGCUAAACCAUGCACCGAAGCUGCGGCAGCGACGCUGAUGCGUUGUUGGGUAGGGGAGCGUUCUGUAAGCCUGUGAAGGUGGCCUGUGAGGGUUGCUGGAGGUAUCAGAAGUGCGAAUGCUGACAUAAGUAACGAUAAAGCGGGUGAAAAGCCCGCUCGCCGGAAGACCAAGGGUUCCUGUCCAACGUUAAUCGGGGCAGGGUGAGUCGACCCCUAAGGCGAGGCCGAAAGGCGUAGUCGAUGGGAAACAGGUUAAUAUUCCUGUACUUGGUGUUACUGCGAAGGGGGGACGGAGAAGGCUAUGUUGGCCGGGCGACGGUUGUCCCGGUUUAAGCGUGUAGGCUGGUUUUCCAGGCAAAUCCGGAAAAUCAAGGCUGAGGCGUGAUGACGAGGCACUACGGUGCUGAAGCGACAAAUGCCCUGCUUCCAGGAAAAGCCUCUAAGCAUCAGGUAACAUUAAAUCGUACCCCAAACCGACACAGGUGGUCAGGUAGAGAAUACCAAGGCGCUUGAGAGAACUCGGGUGAAGGAACUAGGCAAAAUGGUGCCGUAACUUCGGGAGAAGGCACGCUGAUAUGUAGGUGAAGCGACUUGCUCGUGGAGCUGAAAUCAGUCGAAGAUACCAGCUGGCUGCAACUGUUUAUUAAAAACACAGCACUGUGCAAACACGAAAGUGGACGUAUACGGUGUGACGCCUGCCCGGUGCCGGAAGGUUAAUUGAUGGGGUUAGCGGUAACGCGAAGCUCUUGAUCGAAGCCCCGGUAAACGGCGGCCGUAACUAUAACGGUCCUAAGGUAGCGAAAUUCCUUGUCGGGUAAGUUCCGACCUGCACGAAUGGCGUAAUGAUGGCCAGGCUGUCUCCACCCGAGACUCAGUGAAAUUGAACUCGCUGUGAAGAUGCAGUGUACCCGCGGCAAGACGGAAAGACCCCGUGAACCUUUACUAUAGCUUGACACUGAACAUUGAGCCUUGAUGUGUAGGAUAGGUGGGAGGCUUUGAAGUGUGGACGCCAGUCUGCAUGGAGCCGACCUUGAAAUACCACCCUUUAAUGUUUGAUGUUCUAACGUGGGCCCCUUACCGGGGUUGCGGACAGUGUCUGGUGGGUAGUUUGACUGGGGCGGUCUCCUCCUAAAGAGUAACGGAGGAGCACGAAGGUUGGCUAAUCCUGGUCGGACAUCAGGAGGUUAGUGCAAUGGCAUAAGCCAGCUUGACUGCGAGCGUGACGGCGCGAGCAGGUGCGAAAGCAGGUCAUAGUGAUCCGGUGGUUCUGAAUGGAAGGGCCAUCGCUCAACGGAUAAAAGGUACUCCGGGGAUAACAGGCUGAUACCGCCCAAGAGUUCAUAUCGACGGCGGUGUUUGGCACCUCGAUGUCGGCUCAUCACAUCCUGGGGCUGAAGUAGGUCCCAAGGGUAUGGCUGUUCGCCAUUUAAAGUGGUACGCGAGCUGGGUUUAGAACGUCGUGAGACAGUUCGGUCCCUAUCUGCCGUGGGCGCUGGAGAACUGAGGGGGGCUGCUCCUAGUACGAGAGGACCGGAGUGGACGCAUCACUGGUGUUCGGGUUGUCAUGCCAAUGGCACUGCCCGGUAGCUAAAUGCGGAAGAGAUAAGUGCUGAAAGCAUCUAAGCACGAAACUUGCCCCGAGAUGAGUUCUCCCUGAGACUUAGAGUCUCCUGAAGGAACGUUGAAGACGACGACGUUGAUAGGCCGGGUGUGUAAGCGCAGCGAUGCGUUGAGCUAACCGGUACUAAUGAACCGUGAGGCUUAACCUU
rnacentral:rRNA from 1 species